rnacentral:misc_RNA from 1 species
GCAAAUCAGCAGAGAAGCGUGGUAGGUUGCAGAUUCUGACUCUUAUCCUUGAGGUUAAAUGUUUUCUUUGAGAGCGUACUUGGUGUUUCUUAUCUGUCUUGUGUUCAGUUGGAUUUUGUUGCAUUUAUGAUUGUGUACGAGUUAAACAACUCUGCCCUUGAUAUUAUUUGUGAUUACUCUAAAAUCUGCACAAUGUUCGAUUAUAGGUACGCCCGACUUUUUUAUGGGG